GGGGAUGUGGCUCAGUGGUAGAGUGCUUGCCUAGCAUGCAUGAGGUACUGGGUUCRAUUCUCAGCACCWCA